GCUUCUCCACGCCCUCCACCCCAAUACCUCCAGCCCGGACUCUACACUUGAUAUUCGUUGCCUUAAACUCGCCCAAAACAGGUUCCUCGUUUUCUCAUCUCUCGGUCUCAGAAGGACCAGAUUCUUUGAGAUCUGCUCUCCGGAAAAAACAGCUUCACGCCCCUCAUCUGCUUAAAAACUAAGGAAAAGAGACGGAAUGAACAUAACAUGACUUUCUCAAAACAUCAUCUGCCCAGGCAUUUCACUAAAUAAAGUGAGAUUACUAAACAAAGAA